GAUGAACGCUAGCUACAGGCUUAACACAUGCAAGUCGAGGGGUAACGAGAGGAAAGCUUGCUUUCCUUGUCGACGACCGGCGCACGGGUGAGUAACGCGUAUCCAACCUGCCCCCAACUAAGGAAUAACCUUGCGAAAGUAAGACUAAUACCUUAUAAUUUCCUCAGAUGUCAUCUGACGAGGAAUAAAGAUUUAUCGGUUGUGGAUGGGGAUGCGUCUGAUUAGCUUGUUGGCGGGGUAACGGCCCACCAAGGCAACGAUCAGUAGGGGUUCUGGGAGGAAGGUCGCCCACAUUGGAACUGAGACACGGUCCAAACUCCGACGGGAGGAAGCAGUGAGGAAUAUUGGUGAAUGGGCGAGAGCCUGAACCAGCCAAGUAGCGUGCAGGAUGACGGCCCUAUGGGUUGUAAACUGCUUUUAUACAGGAAUAAAGUUAGCCACGUGUGGUUAUUUGCAGGUACUGUAUGAAUAAGGACCGGCUAAUUCCGUGCCAGCCGCCGCGGUAA
rnacentral:rRNA from 1 species